CUGGUGCCUAACUAGAAGCGUCACCCCUACUGACUAGCAUUCAUGGUACUGGAAGGUAGUUUGCAUGCUACUGGAGAAGAAACUACAUCAUCAAUACCACCCAGCCACAAACCCUGUGACCUACAGCAGCCUACAAGAUGGACUGAUACAAUAAUGGCGCAAAUGAUCAGUGCCUUGUUCAUCCCUCAUCAGAGAAAUUUCUUCUUGCAACAGAAGGAGAGGAACACAGAGUCCACAGGUGGACAAUGUUCAGAGAGUGAGACUUUGGAGCUCUCAGUCCUAAAUGUGAUGUCGUCAUCACCUCCCCUGUUCAGGACACAGGGAUCCAUGUGAAGAGGAGGUGGGAAGAAUGGAAGAACCAGAGGUGGUGGAUGACCUAAGGAAGCAGUAUCCUCCAGAUAAUGGACUGAUGCACAGUUGAUGAACUCUAAGGCACUAUGUCAGCAUGCACCAGACCUACACCGUUUCGGCACUGAGGACGGGAAGGGGAAACAUGUUUGUUUCUACUCCUAACCAAUAAGCUAUUUGUAGUUGAUACCCAUUGAGAAAGUGACAGUUUGUUCCAAUGGAGUCACUGGGCAAAUCAACCAUGCUGCAGUGCAGGGGCCCCGUGCCCAAGUAAUAACUGGCCAACUCAAAGUGAAAUCUGUUAAAUUUUGUAGACUUCUUAUUGUAUUUUGACAUUUUUUGUUUUAUUCAUUUUUGGUUUGUUGGAUUUUUUUUGAUUUGUUUCAUUUUGUCUUUUUUUUAUUUUCUUUUUUUUUGUGAGUUUUUAUAGAAAAGUGGGGAGGGAAAGAGAGUUGAAUGAGGGAGAAAAUGGGGGAAGACCUGGGUGACAUUGGAGUAGUGAAAGCAUGAUCAAAUAUAUAGAAAAAAAUUAAUAAAAUUUUAAUUUAAAG
rnacentral:lncRNA from 1 species